CGCUCUUCAGCUAUGUAGAGAGCGCGGCGAACGGCUCAAUAACACGUAGUUAACCUACCCUCGGGAUGGGAAUAACCCCGGGAAACUGGGAUUAAUACCCACUAGAUGAUUAUACCUGGAAUGGCUUAUCAUCGAAAGAGUCUGGAAACAUGCUUCCAGCGUCGCCCGAGGAUGGGACCGCGUCCGAUCAGGUAGUUGGUGGGGUAAUGGCCUACCAAGCCUAUAACCGGUACGGGCCCUGAGAGGGGGAGCCCGGAGAUGGAAACUGAGAAAAGGUUCCAGGCCCUACGGGGUGCAGCAGGCGCGAAACCUCCACAAUGCGCGAAAGCGUGAUGGGGUUAUCCCGAGUGCCGUCCGAUGAGGAUGGCUUUUUUCUAGUGUAAGUAGCUGGAGGAAUAAAGGGGGGGCAAGACUGGUGUCAGCCGCCGCGGUAAUACCAGCCCCCUGAGUGAUAGGGACGAUUAUUUAGCCUAAAGCGUCCGUAGCCGGCUUAGUAAGUCUCUCGUUAAAUCUAGCGACUUAAUCGUCCAGGCCGCGGGAGAUACUGCUAAGCUAGAGGGCGGGAGAGGUUGACGGUAUUCCCGGAGUAGGGGUGAAAUCCUAUAAUCCCGGGAGGACCACCAGUGGCGAAGGCGGUCAACUGGAACGCGCCUGACGGUGAUGGACGAAAGCUGGGGGAGCGAACCGGAUUAGACACCCGGGUAGUCCCAGCCGUAAACGAUGCGGGCUA
rnacentral:rRNA from 1 species